CUCUUCUUGUGUGGAACCUAGGAUUCGAGCUGUGGGCAGAAAGUGCUCUAGCAGGGACUCUGGCUUUGAAAGAGUCCCUUUUUCCUCCUUUUCUUCCUUUACACCCAAUAAAACCUGUCUUACCCUUCAAACUGUCUGCACGCCUGAAUUUUUAUGGCUGUGGGACAAAGGACCUCAUCUUUAGCUGAACUAAGGAAAAAGUCCUGCAACAUUUUUGGCGUGCAACGUAGGGACUUGAGAAGCGGUCAUCAAACUCCAAGUGGCCAUGCAACCAGAGCCUCUGAUGAUGGCCCCUUCUGCUGGGAACCUUACACAGGCCUCUGAGGGAGCUUUAACUGCCGUUUCCCCAAAACAGCACCCCUGUCAGCAGGAAGCAGUUAAGAUCGGUCUUCAUACUUAUCCUUAUUCUAAGGGCAGUUGGAUGUGCUUCUUUAGAGGGGCGAAUGAGGCAGCCAAGUGGGAGGGGGUCCCUGGAAAAACUCCAACCAGCCUGCACACUGGGGUGG
rnacentral:lncRNA from 1 species